rnacentral:rRNA from 1 species
GAUGAACGCUGGCGGCGUGCUUAACACAUGCAAGUCGAACGGGAAACCUUUUAAUGAAGCUUCGGCAGAUUUAGCUGGUUUCUAGUGGCGGACGGGUGAGUAACGCGUGGGUAACCUGCCUUAUACAGGGGGAUAACAGUCAGAAAUGACUGCUAAUACCGCAUAAGCGCACAGGACCGCAUGGUCCGGUGUGAAAAACUCCGGUGGUAUAAGAUGGACCCGCGUUGGAUUAGCUUGUUGGUGGGGUAACGGCUCACCAAGGCGACGAUCCAUAGCCGGCCAGAGAGGGUGAACGGCCACAUUGGGACUGAGACACGGCCCAGAUUCCUACGGGAGGCAGCAGUGGGGAAUAUUGCACCAUGGGGGAAACCCUGAUGCAGCGCCGCCGCGUGAAGGAAGAAGUAUCUCGGUAUGUAAACUUCUAUCACCAGGGCAGAUAGUGACGGUACCUGACUAAGAAGCCCCGGCUAACUACGUG